UGCCACUAGCACCAUAUUGGUGGUAAAUCCUGCCCAGUGACUUGUUCAACGGCCGCGGUAUCCUAACCGUGCAAAGGUAGCAUAAUCACUUGCUCAUUAAUUGUGGGCUAGAAUGAAAGGAUAAACGAAGAUAAUUCUGUCUCUAUUAGAUACCUAAAAAUUAAUUUCUGAGUGAAGAAGCUCAGAUAACCUCGCAGGACAAGAAGACCCUAUAGAGCUUUAUCUAACCCGUACUAUUACAGCACAUGAAGAUUCAGUUGGGGCGACUAAGGCACACAUAACAUCCUUAAAUUUUACGAUUUACACAUCAAUCCAAAGAUCCUAUAUAUAGAUCAAAGAACCAAGCUACCUUAGGGAUAACAGGCUAAUUCUUCUCUAGAGCCCUUAUCACCAGAAGAGUUUGGCACCUCGAUGUUGGCUUAGGAUAUCUUUAUGAUGUAGCAGUCAUAAAAAGACGGUUUGUUCAACCAUUAAAUUCCU
rnacentral:rRNA from 1 species